rnacentral:lncRNA from 1 species
UCCAAUUGCAUGCCAUUAAGCAGAUGACAAAUCUAUCAAACCAUACAGCAAUCAAACAAAACAAAACCUCCGAUUAAGCCCCCUCCGCAAGUUCUUCCUCUUCAUCUUCAUAAUCAUACCCUUCCUCAUCGGCAGUCGCAUCUUGAUACUGCUGGUAUUCAGAAACCAAAUCAUUCAUAUUGCUCUCCGCUUCCGUAAACUCCAUCUCAUCCAUUCCUUCACCAGUGUACCAAUGCAAGAAAGCCUUCCUACGGAACAUAGCGGUAAACUGCUCGCUCACCCGCCUGAACAUUUCCUGGAUCGACGUCGAGUUACCAAUGAAUGUAGACGCCAUUUUAAGCCCGGUUGGAGGGAUAUCACAAACCGUUGACUUAACAUUGUUGGGGAUCCACUCAACAAAGUAAGAAGAGUUCUUGUUCUGGACAUUGAUCAUUUGUUCGUCAACUUCUUUUGUGCUCAUUUUGCCACGGAACAUGGCGGAUGCCGUCAGGUACCGCCCAUGACGGGGAUCAGCUGCACACAUCAUGUUUUUGGCAUCCCACAUUUGUUGGGUGAGUUCAGGUACAGUUAGUGCGCGGUAAUGCUGGGACCCACGUGAUGUUAGGGGUGCAAAUCCAACCAUGAAGAAGUGGAGGCGGGGGAAUGGAAUGAGGUUGACCGCAAGCUUGCGGAGAUCAGAGGCUCCACAACAGUGUCAGAGACCUUCGGAGAUGGGAAUACAGAGAACGUAAGCAUCAUGCGGUCCGGGUAUUCUUCUCGGAUCUUGGAAAUGAGAAGGGUUCCCAUUCCUGACCCGGUCCCACCACCCAACGAGUGGCACACCUGGAAACCUGGA